UGGGUAGUCCGCACGAGCGCACCUUACUUUUAGUUGCUACCAUUUAGUUGGGCACUCUAAAAGAACUGCCAGUGAUAAGCUGGAGGAAGGUGGGGAUGACGUCAAGUCCUCAUGGCCCUUAUGUGUUGGGCUACACACGUGCUACAAUGGUAUUUACAGUGGGAUGCAAAGAGGCAACUCCAAGCCAACCCUCAAAGAAUACCUCAGUUCGGAUUGUACUCUGCAACUCGAGUACAUGAAGCUGGAAUUACUAGUAAUCGCGGAUCAGCGCGCCGCGGUGAAUACGUUCCCGGGUCUUGUACACACCGCCCGUCACACCAUGGAAGUUGGUUACACCUUAAGGCAAAGUGUAAAACCUUUGACUGCGGUACGAUCAGCGACUGGGGUGAAGUCGUAACAAGGUAGCCGUAGGGGAACCUGCGGCUGGAUCACCUCCUUUCU
rnacentral:rRNA from 1 species